AGUGAACGCUGGCGGUAUGCCUAACACAUGCAAGUCGAACGGCAGCACAGUAAGAGCUUGCUCUUACGGGUGGCGAGUGGCGGACGGGUGAGGAAUACAUCGGAAUCUACUUUUUCGUGGGGGAUAACGUAGGGAAACUUACGCUAAUACCUCAUACGACCUACGGGUGAAAGCAGGGGAUCUUCGGACCUUGCGCGAUUGAAUGAGCCGAUGUCGGAUUAGCUAGUUGGCGGGGUAAAGGCCCACCAAGGCGACGAUCCGUAGCUGGUCUGAGAGGAUGAUCAGCCACACUGGAACUGAGACACGGUCCAGACUCCUACGGGAGGCAGCAGUGGGGAAUAUUGGACAAUGGGCGCAAGCCUGAUCCAGCCAUACCGCGUGGGUGAAGAAGGCCUUCGGGUUGUAAAGCCCUUUUGUUGGGAAAGAAAAGCAGCAGGUUAAUACCCCGCUGUUCUGACGGUACCCAAAGAAUAAGCACCGGCUAACUUCGUG
rnacentral:rRNA from 1 species